rnacentral:rRNA from 1 species
GACGAACGCUGGCGGCGUGCCUAAUACAUGCAAGUCGAACGCUGAAGCUUGGUGCUUGCCCCGAGCGGAUGAGUUGCGAACGGGUGAGUAACGCGUAGGUAACCUGCCUGGUAGCGGGGGAUAACUAUUGGAAACGAUAGCUAAUACCGCAUAACAGUAGAUAUCGCAUGAUAGCUACUUGAAAGGUGCAAAUGCCCCACUACCAGAUGGACCUGCGUUGUAUUAGCUAGUUGGUGAGGUAACGGCUCACCAAGGCAACGAUACAUAGCCGACCUGAGAGGGUGAUCGGCCACACUGGGACUGAGACACGGCCCAGACUCCUACGGGAGGCAGCAGUAGGGAAUCUUCGGCAAUGGACGGAAGUCUGACCGAGCAACGCCGCGUGAGUGAAGAAGGGUUUCGGAUCGUAAAGCUCUGUUGUAAGAGAAGAACGAGUGUGAGAGUGGAAAGUUCACACUGUGACGGUAUCUUACCAGAAAGGGACGGCUAACUACGUG